rnacentral:rRNA from 1 species
GACGAACGCUGGCGGCGUGCUUAACACAUGCAAGUCGAACGAAGUGGCGAACGGGUGAGUAACGCGUAAUCAACCUGCCCUUCAGAGGGGGACAACAGUUGGAAACGACUGCUAAUACCGCAUACUGAAGGAGGGGAUUGCGUCUGAUUAGCUAGUUGGAGGGGUAACGGCCCACCAAGGCGAUGAUCAGUAGCCGGUCCUGGAGGGUGAACGGCCAAAUUGGGACUUGACAACGGCCCAGAACCCCACGGGGGGGAGCAGUGGGGAAUCUUCCGCAAUGGACGAAAGUCUGACGGAGCAACGCCGCGGGAGUGAUGACGGCCUUCGGGUUGUAAAGCUCUGUUAAUCGGGACGCGGUACCGGAAUAGAAAGCCACGGCUAACUACGUGCCAGCAGCCGCGGUAAUAC